rnacentral:tRNA from 1 species
GGCCGCGUGCCAGAGUGGACAAAUGGAGCGGAUUGCAAAUCCGCUGGGGUAACCCUUCGUCGGUUCGAAUCCGACCGCGGCCU